CGGGAACCUCGGCGGUACCGGGGGGAUGCUGAGGGGAGCCCUCAGGUGCCUCGUGUGUUUGCUGGCAGCUGGAAAAGGUGCACAGAGCUCCUGGGAGCCUGCAGGGGCUGGGAUGGAAAUCCAAGCAGCGCGGGGAGGAUCCAACCCCUCAAAGUGAAUUUUUCCAGCCCAGUUUUUCCUUUUAUUAUGAUUUAUUCCUCAAGGAUCCUUUCCUAGG